rnacentral:lncRNA from 1 species
GGCGAAGAGAGAAGAGGUGAGGGCGGUCGUCAGCUAAGGGCCCCGGGGCUCGCGGGGGGUGCGCAGGGCAGACUAUCAAGAUCUCCACUUAGGGAAGUGGGAAUCUUAUUUGCGGAACAUUGGGCAGAAGCUUUGACAUUGGCUGGUGGAGAAGGAGGAGGCAGAAUGUCUGCAUUGUUACACCAUACAGCUCAAACUUCAGAAGACUUUGGGUUAAGCAGUUACCAUUAGUCUGCAAAUGAUCGUGUUUUCACCUGAUCAUUAGAAACUAAUGAAACACCUUUUAAGUCUUAUGAAUUCAGGUUACACUGUUUUCCAGAUGCCUUGGCAGCUGGUACAGG